GCUGAUUGGUCCAUUGCUGAGAUGAAUGCUGAGAUUGGGGAGAGCCACGCCCACCUCUACACAUCACAGACUGAUGAACAGGAAGCCAUGGCCAGGAUGCAACAUAUGUGCUUUGCCUUGGAGCUGUCAAGCAUUGAAGGAACCAUAUGCAGCUACAGAACUCACUCAGGCCUGGCAAAUGGACUGAUGAUUGCAGUGAUCUCGUAAUCCUCGUUUGAGUCUCCCCACCCCAAGCUGGAGGCGUUGAUCUGGAGAAGUGGAAUUAGUUGACCUGGCUUGACCCCCUGCAUGGGGUGCUGCCAUCUUGAAAUCGUUGUGUGCCAAGGAAAAGGAUGUAAGCAGCCCAGGCCUACAGAAAAAAAACACAGAACCUUUGGAGAUAAUCGAGUUGAAGGGUUUUGUGCUCUCAUUUCUGAAUGGAAAAUCACAUCAUGCUGAAAUUUGGGCCCAUUGAAGUCGUUAAUAAUUAAAAUCAUAUUGUGCAUUUAUAUUUCAAAAUAUUACUUAAUUUUGAAGUUAUUUAUAUUGUUCUGCUUACCACCUGUUACCAGGAACUCCAUCUGCCUUAAACGUGAACUCGCCCUGCAUUAAACUUGCACUUCAGCGUCAUGUUAAAGGGAAAAUACAACAUUUGCAA